UGAGUAACCUGCCCUUAACUCUGGGAUAAGCCUGGGAAACUGGGUCUAAUACCGGAUAUGACUCCUCAUCGCAUGGUGGGGGGUGGAAAGCUUUAUUGUGGUUUUGGAUGGACUCGCGGCCUAUCAGCUUGUUGGUGAGGUAAUGGCUCACCAAGGCGACGACGGGUAGCCGGCUGAGAGGGCGACCGGCCACACUGGGACUGAGACACGGCCCAGACUCCUAGGGAGCAG
rnacentral:rRNA from 1 species